GAUGAACGCUGGCGGCGUGCCUAAUACAUGCAAGUCGAGCGAACAGAUGAGGAGCUUGCUCCUCUGACUUUAUCGGCGGACGGGUGAUUAACACGUGGAUAGCCUACCUAUCAGACUGGGAUAACUUCGGGAAACCGUAGCUAAUACCGGAUAAUAUAUUGAACCUCAUUGUUCAAUAGUUAAAUACGGUUUUUCUUUCACUUAUAGCUUGCUCCGCGCCGCAUUCGCUAGUUGGUAAGGUAACGGCUUACCAAGGCAACGAUGCGUAGCCGACCUGAGAGGGUGAUCGGCCACACUGGAACUGAGAAACGGUACAGACUCCGACGGGAGGAAGCAGUAGGGAAUCUUCCGCGAUGGGCGAAAGCCUGACGGAGCAAAGCCGCGUGAGGGAUGAAGGACUUCGGAUCGUAAAACUCUGUUAUUAGGGAAGAACAAAUGUGUAAGUAACUAGGCACGUCUUGACGGUACCUAAUCAGAAAGCCACGGCUAACUACGUG
rnacentral:rRNA from 1 species